GUAAAAAUGGGUAAAUGGACACCUCCACUUGGGAGAAGGAAGAGGUUCCCGUUGCAUACUGUAUGCGGAGAGUGACGAGAGCUUUAACCCAGAGGAGACGGAGGUGCCCUUUAUUUGCUGACUUUAAGGCGCUGAUUCUCUGAAGGAUUCCUUCAAAUCGAUUGAAGCAGAGAUCUCCUCCUG